rnacentral:rRNA from 1 species
UCACAUAGAGGCAGCAGUAGAGAAUCUUGUGCAAUAAACGAAAGUAUGACACAGAGAGGACACAUUUAAUUGAGCCCGUCAAAUUAAGUGCCAGCCGACGCGGUUAAACUUAAGGGCUGGUCUUUAUAAGUAAAAAGGCGUAAAGGAUGUGUAGGCCAAGAAACGACCCAAGAAGGUAAAUGGAAUUUUUCUGGAGCGGUAGAAUGUGAGGAUAGAAAAUAGAACCCCUAAGGUUAAAACUAUUUACCACAAGGUAGGCUGAAACAUGAGUGUGUGGGGAGCAAACAGGAUUAGAGACCCUGGUAGUCCACACUGUGAACUUUGAAGAUGAUGCUUAGCAGACCCGAAAGGUAAAAUCUUCCGCCUGAGUAGUACGAUCGCAAGAUUAAAAUUCAAAAACUUUGGCUGUUCACUAUUUCGAUUAGAGGAGCGUGUAGUUUAAUUCGAUGGUCCGCGUGUUACCUUACCCCAACUUGAAUCUGUGACCGGUAUUGCAUGGCCGUCGUAAGUUCGUGUAUUAAGCUAGAAGGGACCCAACCCGGGCAUUUGCCCGGAGGAAGUCAGGUCUUAUGAUCCGAAUGUUGGGGGAUUUUAUGCGCUACAUUUUCUUAUAUAAUGGGAGACCUGGAAGGUGAGCCUCUAAAGUAAGAGUUCGGAAGGUCGCUGUAAGACGACUGGAAGUUGGAUUUAAUAGUAAUCGGAAAGUAGGGCGUUCCGGUGAAUUGGUACAAGUGUUAGCACAAAUUGCCCGUCGCCUUUACCUAGAAUGGUUAUUCGGACGC